GUGUCUUAAAAAUUGUGACCCAUGAAUUUGGUAUCAUUUGGAAAGCAUUUGCCUUAAUGAUUAACAGUUUUUAAAUAAAAUCCCAAGGCCAUAUAAAACUUACUUUGUUCCUAGAACUUUUUAAGAAUACCUAGUCAACAUAAAUUAGGCCUUUAUUCGUACUCAAAAAUAUUUCAGUCAUGUAAAAGUACUUUAGUCUGUUUAUCUUGUUACAUUGUUUUCUAUUUUUAUAUGAGAUAUGAAAGAUCUUUAUAUUGGUUUACUUUGGGCUGCUAAUAACCAGUGUUAGAAAUGAACAUUGGGUCUCUUUUGGGGCUGUCAUUAUAACUGCCUAAAUUUUCUCUGCUGUAAUCUUACUUGCUACCUAAAAUUCUAUUGAGGCUUCCCCGUUAAAUUUCUGCCUUUCAUAGAUUUAAUUUUAAUGAAAUGCCAGUCUUUUUUUUCUUCUUAAAUAGUAAUUUUAUCUUACUAUCAUGGAGAGGGCUUUGUUUAUAUUGAAAGGAAUUUUCACUAUUAUUGUGAAAGUUAUUUGAAUUGCCUUAUUUCAUUACUUUUGAUUUUGUUUUAUAAUAGGCUGAUAAAUGAAUAGGGCAUUAAAAUAUUUUAUAAUUACUCCAGAGAAUUGAGAACUACAGAAUUAUUUUUCUUUAUAUUCCUAAAUAGGUGGGCUUCAUAAACAUGACUUUAAAAUUAAAUAAACUAGUAACAUUUAGUAACUUGAUGAGUUCCAUAAAUUGUUAAAAUAUUCCAAAAUGUUUUUCAAAAUGAGUAUUUUUAGAUAAACCAAAAAUUGCUUAUAAGUCUAAACUCACCUGGUUACCGGUUCUUGGCCAGAUUUUAUCUUCUGUCUGGAGAGAAGGUUUUGCUAUUUGUUUCCAGCUACAUUUAUCAGUAAUUACACUUCAUAUUCUCUUAAGAAAUACUUGAAUAUCAAAGUUUAUCUUUUAAUAGCUUUUACAAUGGUUUGUAAAUAAUGUAAAGUUUGUGAAAUUGUAUUUGAAAUGUCAAUGUUUAUAAUUCCUUUUAUAACAUUGCAAAAUAACAGAAAAAAAAUGAGCUUCAGUUAUUUUCAAUAGUUUUCCAAAGAUUUGUUAAAAUUUUUUUUUUUUUUUUAAAUUUCGAUUUGGUCCAUAUUCCCUGUUGGGAAUGUAUUACAUAAAACAGUAAACUAAUUUCUGCAUUUUACACCAGUUUUAUAAAUAAAACUUUUCAAUUCAGUUGAGCUUGCAAAUAUCAAGUAGAAAUAUCCAAUUUCUCCUUUUAAUGAAUGCUCUAUCCAGUUAAAACCUCCUGCACUAUAUAAUUUAAUACUGAGGAACGUGAAAACCAACCAUUUGUUUUUCUGUUGACUAAAUACUCAAGUUUCUGUACAUAUUUACUAACUAAUCAUGUAAAACUUUUACUUCUAUUUUGCCUAUUUAUCAAUGUUCAUGUUAUAAGGUUGUAACUUAAUGCAGCCAGCAAUCAUGUUUCAAAUACAUAUUUCCAGAAUAUUAUAUUUUCAAAUGAAAUCAACCUCCUGGCUCAAAAUGUAAGAUAAACUGAGUUUUAAGUUAAUAUAGCUGGUCUUUACUUUGCAUUUAUGAGCUAUAGUUCCUUUCCCCACAUACAUUAUACAUUUUAUGGGAAAUGUGAGACAAUUUAAAGGUCAAGGAUACUUAGCAUUUCAUAGAUCAUAAAGUGUUAUUGCAGGAUGUGUCUUAAAAUUUAACCCCAGAAAACUACAGCUUCUAGAGAAAUUGGCAACUUUUUUACAGGAAGUAAGAGAGUAAUUGAUUUAUGUAGACUUUGUGGACAGUAAGUCUCUGUAAGAACUACUCAGCUCUACCUUUUCGGUGUGAAGACAGCUAUAAACAAUAUGUAAAGAAGUGGGGAAGGGGCAGUUUUCCAACAAAAUUGUCAACACUGAAAGUUGA